UCCCCGGUAGCUCAGCGGUAGAGCGACUCCCUGUUAAGGAGUGGGUCGCAGGUUCGAAUCCUGCCCGGGGAGCCA
rnacentral:tRNA from 1 species